rnacentral:tRNA from 1 species
GUUGCGGUGGCCGAGUGGUUAAGGCGUUGGACUAGAAAUCCAAUAAGAUCUUCCCGCGCAGGUC